rnacentral:rRNA from 1 species
UACGUAGGGUGCGAGCGUUGUCCGGAAUUAUUGGGCGUAAAGAGCUCGUAGGCGGUCUGUCGCGUCGGAUGUGAAAACCCAGGGCUCAACUCUGGGCCUGCAUUCGAUACGGGCAGACUAGAGUAUGGCAGGGGAGACUGGAAUUCCUGGUGUAGCGGUGAAAUGCGCAGAUAUCAGGAGGAACACCGGUGGCGAAGGCGGGUCUCUGGGCCAAAACUGACGCUGAGGAGCGAAAGCGUGGGGAGCGAACAGG